rnacentral:lncRNA from 1 species
GAAACAUUCCACUGAGGUGAUUUCUAAAGUCUAAGUAAAGGGAACUAUAAUGAAACCAGAGAUCAAAUUUUGAAAGGCAAAUGGCAAAGAAAGAAGAAAGAUCAUUGCCAUUAGACAGAAAGAAAAGUUGUGUCAACAAGGGCCCAGAGGACAGUGGAAUCAAAACAGCCCUGGAAAAGGAGUCUGAGGAUCCUUCAGUCACUAACAAGUGUGCAUCUUGAACAACUCACUUGAUCUUUCUUCGACUUCAUUUCCUCACAUGCAAAAUGAAGAGGCUUGUCUACAUCUAGUUUUGAAUUUUCUAUGGUGACUACAAGAUUCCCACUUCUGCAUGUUCAGUGUUCUUAAAUACCACCAUUCUCGUCUUUCCUCUGUAGUUGUUCAUCAUUGACAAAAGGAGAUUUGGGGUUUAAUUAGCUACAUCUGCCUAAGGUACCCUUUUUUCAGAAAUUUCCAUCUAUAAGCAUACGAGUAAUACUCAAUGAAAAAAUAAUUUUUCUGGGGGCUGGCCCCGUGGCCGAGUGGUUAAGUUCGCGCGCUCCGCUGCAGGCGGCCCAGUGUUUCGUUGGUUCGAAUCCUGGGCGCGGACAUGGCACUGCUCAUCAAACCACGCUGAGGCAGCGUCCCACAUGCCACAACUAGAAGGACCCACAACGAAGAAUAUACAACUAUGUACUGGGGGGCUUUGGGGAGAAAAAGGAAAAAAUAAAAUCUUUAAAAAAAAAAUUAUUUUU